rnacentral:ncRNA from 1 species
AUAUUUGCGUUGACGAGAAGAGUAACUACGACAUUAACCAACAGCGAGCCCGGCCGGUGGAAACGGGUGCUUAACUAGUAGUGAAGAUGAGCUCAGAGCAUGUCAGGCGGUUCACGCUGACUGACCGGUUGCAACCGUUAGCUUGCCAGGUAUCAACAGGUACCGUUGAGGCUAAUUGUGCGAGCGAUUAGCGAAGUUAGGGUGGUAACGCGCAAAGUAAAUCGUCCCUUUU